UACGAAGGGGGCUAGCGUUGCUCGGAAUCACUGGGCGUAAAGCGCACGUAGGCGGCUUUUUAAGUCAGGGGUGAAAUCCUGGAGCUCAACUCCAGAACUGCCUUUGAUACUGAAGAUCUCGAGUCCGGGAGAGGUGAGUGGAACUGCGAGUGUAGAGGUGAAAUUCGUAGAUAUUCGCAAGAACACCAGUGGCGAAGGCGGCUCACUGGCCCGGUACUGACGCUGAGGAGCGAAAGCGUGGGGAGCGAACAGG
rnacentral:rRNA from 1 species